GCCAUCUCAUAUUUUCCACAUGGUAUUAGAGCGGUUUGUUCAACGACGCCGAUCCUAGGACCUUCAACCACUUCAGCAGCGUGCCGCCCCCGGGGAAAUUAAUCUCCUCUCCCCGGGGGCGCCGCACCCGAUCGAUCAAAUAUUAGAUCAGUUCUUUAGAUUAGUUUAGAUCAAAAUUUCGAAAUUCCUAUUAGAUCAGAACUUCCUUUAGCCAAGAAAUAAAUCUUGCCAGAUCCCUUCCGGUGAAAAUCCAGCAAAAUCGAUGCGAACGGCGGCCAAGCGCCACCAACCUCCACGUACAACUCUGAAGAGCGGUGCGCCAGGAUCGGUUGUGUAUGAACAGGUGCUUGCAAUCUCGUCCAGAUCGACAGCCAGGCAGCCAGGGGACAGAUGGCUCCGCGCCUCCGGCUGUAUGUACGGCACUCAUCUGGCUUAUCCAUCCGGAGCACCGGCGCGAACUUCGUUGACUCCACGAGCUCGUCACCGACCUUCACCAUCGCGCGUACAUGCAGAACAGCGAGCACGGCGGCUCCCGUCUACACCAGGACACGCCAUCUCCAUCGAUGACGAACUUCCGCGCGCACGGCAGCGAUCCCACCGCGCAGCAUGGCUGGGCAUCGAUUGGUCUUCUGCACCGGAGCUUCUUCAGCAUCUGCACCAGCUAUUCUUCAUCCAGCCGAACGACAAAACUACACUAGGCAAUCUUCAUCGACCGCGCACCGCGACACCAAGCUGUACAUCUACAUCGACAUGCAACUGCACCAACAUCAACGACUACACCGACGCCUCUGCAUUGACCGAGCCACUGCAUCGAGCGAUCUACACCGAUCCGCGCCGCAUCAUCAAGCUGUAAGACUACGUCAGGCUACAAGCCAACAUACUUGGUCGAGCACACCUACGAGAAGCGACCACGACAUGCACCGUUCACACGCCAGGCCGGUGUGGAAAGCGGUGCAAUUCUUCAUCAACUUCUCCGACGCGACACGGCAUCGACACUUCGUCGCCGCGAGGGACGCCUUCAAGCGACACAUUGUCGACACACCGCUGCGGCGUCAUAGCCGAAUCUUCAUGAGCCAAGGUCUUCAUCAACAUGGUCUACACCAACAUCUUCGUCAACACACCGCCCGCCGCCUUGUCCACAAGAUGGACACCUAGCGUCCUCUGACAGAGUUUUCUGCAAGACGCGACCACGACGACGGCAAUGACCGCGUCACGACGACGGCAUCGACCGCGUCAUCCACGACGGCACGACUGCAUCGACACGGCGUCACUACAGUGACGACCCUACAUGGCCGCACGGUUUUGGCAAAACCGAUGUGUGCUCGAUGGGCUUCCUUCGGUCUUGGCAAAACCGGUGGACUCAUCGCCGACGGCGCCCUCUGACAUCCGCAAGGUGCAUAGUCCACGUCUGCAGCUCCGUCAUAGUGCAUUUUUUUGCGCCUCCGGCUUUGUGCGGUUUCAUCAUCCAUGACGACCACACCAUCGACCACGACUACCUCGACCACGGCUACAUCAACAUCGACAUACACGACCACGUCUACAGCAACACAUCGGUGACAACUCCAGUCAACAGCGUCCGCGUCGUCACCAGCAUCCACGCCACUCCCGCUGUGACUGCGGGAGGGAAUAGGGGAGAGACAAGGGAGGCACUAGAAGGGGGCGCAGUCACCGUCCUAGGUGCCGACCCAUCAGAGACGCAGUUGAUGAUGGCGCGGCGGAGAAGACGACGAAAGCACAAGAGUUCAAAUUCAGUCGUCAUCGUCCGCUUCACUCCCGCUACGACUGAGGGGGAAUGUUAGAAGUAUAAUUAUGUUUAAGUUAGAGAUUAGGAGUUAGAGAUAGGAUUGGUUUAAACCAUGUAUGACUUGUCCCCUACUCCAAGUCUCUCUCACAAAUUAUACUCUAUAUAUAUCCCACACCUGGGUCAGAUCAAUACAACAACAACACAUUA